GUGGCAAGCGCACGCACAGCGCGGGGCCGGCUCGGUCCGGUUCGGCGCGAGGUGUGUUGGGCUGGUUCGGUCCAUUUGGCCGGGCCGGGCCGGUUUCUUCUUUUUUUAUCCUUUUAGCCUUUUCUCUUUUUCUUUGAUAUCUUUUGAUUUUGAACUCCAAAUUGAUCCAAAUAAAUUUCAGAAAAUUUGUAAAAUCAUGUUUUAUCAUGAUUCAACUUUUGGGAAUAAUUUCCCCGCAAAAGAAAUAUA
rnacentral:lncRNA from 1 species